UUUAAGUGCAGCCAUGGUUUCCGUGUCUAACUUCCAUCGUCCGUUUUAUUUGAAAAAAUUAAAAGAACAUAAGUCAUGAGUAAAGUACUAUUCAUGUUUUAUCAUCUCAUAACAACAAAAAUACUAAAUAAAAAAUUUCAAAUAAGACGGGCGAUCAAAGUUUAGCGCAGAGCAGAAACUCAUAGUUACACUUAAA
rnacentral:pre_miRNA from 1 species